rnacentral:rRNA from 1 species
GAUGAACGCUGGCGGCGUGCCUAAUACAUGCAAGUCGAGCGAACAGACGAGGAGCUUGCUCCUCUGACGUUAGCGGCGGACGGGUGAGUAACACGUGGAUAACCUACCUCUAAGACUGGGAUAACUUCGGGAAAUCGGAGCUAAUACCGGAUAAUAUAUUGAACCGCAUGGUUCAAUAGUGAAAGACGGUUUUGCUGUCACUUAUAGAUGGAUCCGCGCCGCAUUAGCUAGUUGGUAAGGUAACGGCUUACCAAGGCAACGAUGCGUAGCCGACCUGAGAGGGUGGACGACCACACUGGAACUGAGACACGGUCCAGACUCCGACGGUAGGCAACAGUAGGAAAUCUUCCGCGAUGAACGAAUGCCUAACGGAGCGACGCCGCGGGAGUGAUGAAGGUCUUCGGAUCGUAGAACUCUGUUAUUAGUGGGGAACAAAUGUGUAUGUAACGGUGCACGUCUUGACGGUACCUAAACAAAAAGCCACGGCUAACUACGUG